UUUUUCUUAACCUAGAUCUCAUAAAAAACCAGGACACCUCCUUUUCUUUUUGGUUCUGGCAUUACGAUUUAAAGGGUUUCUUGUUCGCAAAAAGAAGUAGAAAAAAGGAUAUUGAAACCCUAAUUUUGGGAAAGAUUACAAAAGCGGUUUUCGCAGUUUUGCAAAAAGGGAUCUUCAAACCCUAACUUUUGCUCUGUUGGCAUUCCUCAAACCAAAAGAGGAGGAACAUAAACCUACUCAAAUUAAAGGAGAUGAUCUGUUGAUGUGGGCGUUUGAGCCCUUGUCGACGUUGUUAUCGGCCGGAGUACCCGUAUCGUCAACUAAGGUCGCUGAAUUGCUCGUUUCACACUUAUAUUGGUCCAAUAAUGUGCCGAUUGCGUGGAAGUUUCUUGAAACCUGCUGAAAUUAAAGGUGUUUCACACUUAUAUUGGUCGCUGAAUUGCUCGUUUCACACUUAUAUUAAAGAUUCCAGAAGAUACCGACAGAACCGGAGGAGAGAGAGGGUGGGGGGAGAUCGGAGAAGAGAUGGGAAAGAGAGACGGUGUAGAUCAGGGAAGAGAUGGGAGAGAGAGACGGGGUAGGCUGCUGCCACGCCUCCAGCGGCAGCGAGGGUGGUUAAACCAUCGGAAUCAGGGUCCGCCGCACAUGGUGACGGGGUUUAUGGAUUUCAGCAAUCAAGCGAAGGUAGGGUGUGGGUCACCAGCGACGACAUGGGGUUCCGGUGAUGAAAGUGGUAUUUCGCGAGCACGAUAGUGAUUCUGAUUUAGAACAUGAGGACCUGGCAGUGGGCCCCACCAUAUCUGUGAUUCCUGAAACCGGAAAUGAAAGUGGUAUUUGGCAAGAUUCUCCCAAGUCAGAGACUAUUGAAACUGAUACAACUGUUUUCCUUUCUUUCGUAUGGGAGAACGAAAAACCAUACGAAAAAGCCGUUGAAAGAUUGAUAGAAGAAGGAAAAUUAAUGGACGCUCUUGCUCUUUCUGAUCGAUGCUUACACGAUGGUGCUUCGGAUCAUUUACUUAGUUACUAAUUGAACAUGAAGAGGAAGAUCAUACUGUUUAUAAUCUAUCAGAUAUUUGCUUAGAUGGGAAUUAGAUGCUGCUUUGGAUGUUCUCACCAUGUGCCACUGUCACUUGCUGGAAAAUGAUCCUUAUAAAAACGAGGUUGUUCUAAGGAGACAAGCUUUAAUGCGGUACAGUCAUAUACUAACUGCAGACGAGCGUUACAAUAGCUGGCAAGAGGUUGCGGCAGAGUGUAAGGAAGAUUCCGAGGGUCUAGCCCUUAGGUUAGCGGAAAAGGGAGUUGUUUCUGCUGCUUAAGAUGUUGCUGAAAGUGCAGGGUUAUCUAUUGAACUUCGUAGAGAACUUUAGGGUGUCAACUUGUAAAACUUCUUACAGCUGACCCCAUAACUGGUGGUGGGCCUGCUGAAGCUUCACGGUUUCUGUCUUCCUUGCGUGAUUCAAAAGAUGCUCUUCCGGUUGCAAUGGGAGCAAUUGCCCAACCUUCGAUCUAAACAAUUGCUUGUUCAUUUUUUCCUGAAAAGAAAAGACAGCAACUUAACCCAAACAGAGUUUUCCCGCCUUAAUUUGUGGGCCCUAGGUCUUCGUGUAUUGGUGGUCUUGCCUUUACCAUGGCAGCAAAGAUGCUCUGCAUUGCACGAGCAUCCUCAGCUAAUUGUUGAAGUUUUGCUGAUGCGUAAACAACUGCAAUCUGCUUCUAUGAUACUUAAAGGAUUCCCAUCACUAAGAGACAACAAUACAAUCCUCACAUAUGCUGCUAAGGCAAUUUUGGAUACUAUAAGCCUGCCUUGACGCGAGUCACGAAUACAAGUUUUGGGCCCCAAAACAAAGCAAAAAUCAGGAACCCCUACACGAUCUUCCUUUUCUAAUAGUUUAAGUAACUUGCACAAUUAGGCACGUAGGGCUUUUUCUUAGAACCCAAGAAAUAGUGCAGAGAUAAUCACUCCUAAAGUUCAGAGGAAACGAAAAGGGUCAGGACUUACACAAACGGAUAAAGCCACUUGGGAAGCAAUGGCUGGGAUUCAAGAAGACCGUGUUUCGUCAUACACAAUAGACGGUCAAGAUCGUCUUGCUUCACUUUCUAUUGCUGAUCAGUGGAUGCUCACUGGUGGAAGGGGAGUUGGUGGUGUUCAGAUUUCACUCACGGAUAGCAUCCGAAGCAAACAAAGUAUUUAUUGUCACUCAGUAACUGAUUAAAGUUUGCUUCAGGUGAUUAUGCAUUAGCUCCUACAACAGGCACCAUUAUGUAAGCAAUUGGAGUAGAUGGGUUUGCUGCUGUUGCAAGUGCCACUAGUAGUGAUGCAGGUUCUGUUGCACUUGUUGCAUCAUUUGGAGAUAUCUUUUGAUAGAAGCUUAUGUAUUUGGUAUUUAUAUUUUAAAUUUAUGUAUGGAUUUUGGUUUAUUACUGUUAAUAUUAUUUGGUUUUUAAGUUUUUA